AGAGUGAACGCUGGCGGUAGGCCUAACACAUGCAAGUCGAACGGCAGCACGGUAAGAGCUUGCUCUUAUGGGUGGCGAGUGGCGGACGGGUGAGGAAUACAUCGGAAUCUACCUUUUGGUGGGGGAUAACGUAGGGAAACUUACGCUAAUACCGCAUACGCCCUUCGGGGGAAAGCCGGGGACCAGCAAUGGCCUGGCGCUGAUAGAUGAGCCGAUGUCGGAUUAGCUAGUUGGUGAGGUAAUGGCUCACCAAGGCGACGAUCCGUAGCUGGUCUGAGAGGAUGAUCAGCCACACUGGAACUGAGACACGGUCCAGACUCCUACGGGAGGCAGCAGUGGGGAAUAUUGGACAAUGGGCGCAAGCCUGAUCCAGCCAUACCGCGUGGUGAAGAAGGCCUUCGGUUGUAAAGCCCUUUUAGUUGGAAAGUAAAAGACAUUACGGUUAACGUACCGGUGUUCUGACGGUAACCCAAAAGAAGUAAAGACGAACCGGCUAAACCUUCGUACGU
rnacentral:rRNA from 1 species